AACGUAGGUACCGAGCGUUAUCCGGAUUUACUGGGCGUAAAGGGCGCGUAGGCGGUCAGCACAAGUCAGUUGUGAAAUCUCCGAGCUUAACUCGGAACGGUCAACUGAUACUGUGCGACUAGAGUGCAGAAGGGGCAACUGGAAUUCUUGGUGUAGCGGUGAAAUGCGUAGAUAUCAAGAGGAACACCUGCGGCGAAGGCGGGUUGCUGGGCUGACACUGACGCUGAGGCGCGAAAGCCAGGGGAGCGAACGGG
rnacentral:rRNA from 1 species